rnacentral:rRNA from 1 species
GUCUAUUUGGGUUUAUAUAUAGUCUGGCCUGCUCACUGACAUAGGAUUGUUUAAGAGCCGCGGUAUUUUGACCGUGCAAAGGUAGCAUAAUCAUUAGCUUUUUGAUUGAAAGCUUGUAUGAAUGGUCGGACAAAGGAAAAGCUGUCUUUACUGUAAAAUUAGAAAUUAACCUCUAAGUGAAAAGGCUUAGAUUCUUUAGGGGGACGAUAAGACCCUAUAAAGCUUUACACAUAAGUAGAGUUUACUUAAUUAAAAAGUAAAAGUUUAAUCUAAUUAAUGUGUUUUGUUGGGGCGACAUAAAUAUAAUUUAUAUUAACUGUUUAUAAAUUAAUACAAUAAUAAAUGAUUUUAAUGUAGUUGAUCCUUAUUAAAGAUUAAAAGACUAAGUUACUUUAGGGAUAACAGCGUUAUUUCUUUUGAGAGCUCCUAUCGAAAAAGAAGUUUGCGACCUCGAUGUUGAAUUAAAAUAUCUAAAUAAUGCAGCAGUUAUUUAAGAAGGUCUGUUCGACCUUUAAAUUUUU